rnacentral:rRNA from 1 species
CAGCAGCCACGGUAAUACGAAGGGGGCUAGCGUUGCUCGGAAUGACUGGGCGUAAAGGGCGCGUAGGCGGCCAUUCAAGUUAGAUGUGAAAGCCCUGGGCUCAACCUAGGAAUUGCAUUUGAUACUGUUUGGCUUGAGUUCGGGAGAGGUGAGUGGAAUUCCCAGUGUAGAGGUGAAAUUCGUAGAUAUUGGGAAGAACACCAGUGGCGAAGGCGGCUCACUGGACCGACACUGACGCUGAGGCGCGAAAGCGUGGGGAGCAAACAGGAUUAGAUACCCGCGUAGUCCCUGUCUCUUAUAC